UCCAUCUUGAAGUUUGUUGUUGAGUUUUGUUAAUUUUUCUUUAUUUGAGCAAAAUUAUGGCAUUAUCACCCGUUAACCCUUAAAACCAACUUUACGUUAGAUAGAUUAAAACUAAAAAUAUCCUGAGAAAAGUAAACAGAAAGGUCAACCGUCAAACGGAAGCUCUACUUUUCAUGUCAAGAUAUGAGACGUUAACACAGGAUGAAGGCAGAUUAGGAUUAGCGUGUAAGGAAAGGUGCGGAGGCGAGUGCCCUCAUCUCUGACCAGUCCUGUGCGUUUGACCCAGCGCUGACAGCAGUGUAAUUGUGCUUUCUCACUGCUGUGGGCCACAGAGGAAGUUCUCACCAGCGUUUUGAGGCUCUCCCGGUCAGGCUAAGGUGCCAAGAAGAACAUCUGCGUGGAUCUGCUGACUACCAAAAGCUGGAUGGAUUCAUCUUUUCUCUACAUCUCAACCAUGUGCCAGAACAGCUGGAUCCUGCUGUGGCCAACGGCUGCUCUCCUUUAUUAUGGCAGGGGAAGUGACAUCAGUAGCCCAAGACAACAAUAAAGGAGACAAAAUCACAACAGCCGACUUGUGGGACAUAUCAGAGCUGUGAUAUUUUUUUCAACUGAACUCCAAACACACCCAGCAGUUGCAGCUUCAGAGGAUGUCAUUAAUCCAAGAACGUAUGCAUUUGGAAAAUAUGAGUGUUUCACGUCUAGGAAUGACGUUAGCAGACGUGCUCAAGAGAGGUAAUAAAACAAAAAUUUGUCAACUGUAAAUGCUAAAAGAAGCACACAGGCUAUCCCCCAAUGACUAACUGAGAACUGCCUUUAUCAUAUAUUUAUCUUUAUGUUACUAUAAAGGUUAAAAAAAUAUUUUAAUUGUUUCACUAUCUUGAACUGAUCCACUAAAAUCAACCUGGGCCAGUCUUGGGGAGUAACAAUCAACAUUUUCAAUAGGGUAUCAGUAGUUCAUCUAUUUACACAAUAGGGUAGCUUUUACAAGAAUUAGCAAAACAUCACAUCUCUUUUUUAAAGCUAAACACGCUCACCUCCGCAUCCUCUGUCUCCUGUAAGUUGCAUAGGAAAAUCAUUCUAGUGAAUCUGUUCAUCCUAAACGGUCCUUUCUCUCUUAGGUAGCGUAGGAUUGUUCAGUUCAAUUUAGUGAAUCAGUUCAUCCCAAACGGUCCUGGUUGUCUCUAUCAGAUGUAGAGUAGGAAAGUUCGAUUCAUUUAGUGAAUUGGUUCAUCCCAAACUAUCCUCUCUCUGUUCAAUUAAAUUUAGUGAAUCGUUUCAUCCCUGUCCUCCCUCUCAUAUGUAGCAUGUUCAGUUUAUUUUAGCGAAUUGGUUCAUCCCUAAUGGUCUGUUCAGUUCGGUUCAUCCCAAACGGUUCUUCCUGUUCAGUUCAUUAAAGUGAAUCAGUUCAUCCCAAGUGGUCCUCUCUCUGUUCAGUUCAUUUUAGUGAAUCGGUUCAUCACAAACAGUCCUCUCUCUCAUGUGUAUCAUUCGCAUGUUCUGUUUAUUUUAGUGAAUCAGUUCACCUUAAAUGGUCUGUGCAGUUCAUUUUACUAAACCAGUUUAUUGCAGACUGUCCUCUGUCUCAUAUCUACCCUUACGAAAAUUAACCAUGGUUUAAUUAGUAAAAUUGUAGUAACCAUGUUUUUUUUUGGGUAUAUUGACUACCAUUUGUAUAGCCACAAAUGUAGUUUUACCACAUAUGGUUAAACUAUGGUUAGUGUAGCAAAACCAUGGCUAAUUUGUAGUUACCAUGGUUUAACUAUAGUAACCAUGGUUUUUUUGGUUUUAUUUGUAGUAAAACUAUGGUUCAUUUUUGUAAGGGUAGCAUAGGAAUGUUUUGUUUAGUAAAUUGGUUCAUCCCAAGGAGGAAUGUUCAGUUCAGUUUAGUGAAUAGGUUCAUCUAAAACCGUCUUCUCUCUCAUAGGAAAGUUCAGUUCAUUUUAGUGAAUGGGUUCAUCCCAAACAAUCCUCUCUCUGUUCUGUUCAUUUUAGUGGAUCGGUUCAUCCCAAACGGUCCUGGUCCUUUCUCUCAAAUGUAGAGUAGGAAUGUUCGAUUCAGUUUAGUGAAUCGGUUCAUCCCAAAUAAUCCUCUCUCUGUUCUGUUCAUUUUAGUGAAUCAGUUUAUCCCAAACGGUCCUGGGCUGCGUUUCCCAAAAGCAUCAUAAGCUUAAGUACAUCGUAGACCCAUUGACCAAUGGAACAACGAUCAACUUAAGCUUACAAUGCUUUUGGAAACGCAGCCCUGGUCCUUUCUCUCAAACAUAGAGUAGGAAAGUUCAGUUCAUUUUAGUGAAUGGGUUCAUCCCAAACGAUCCUCACUCUGUUCUGUUUAUUUUAGUGAAUCAGUUAAUCUCAAACAGUCCUGGUCCUCUCUCUCAUAUGUAGAGUAGGAAAGUUUGAUUCGUUUUAGUGAAUCGGUUCAUCCCAAACUAUCCUCUCACUGUUCAAUUCAAUUUAGUGAAUUGGUUCAUCCCUGUCCUCUCUCUCAUAUGUAGCAUGUUCAGUUUAUUUUAGUGAAUUGGUUCAUCCCUAAUGGUCCUCUCUCUGUUCAGUUCAUUUUAGUGAAUCGGUUCAUCACAAACAGUCCUCUCUCUCAUGUGUAUCAUUCGCAUGUUCUGUUUUAUUUUAGUGAAUUGGUUCACCCCAAAUGGACUAUGCAGUUCAUUUUAGUAAACCGGUUCAUCGCAAACUGUCCUCUCUCUCAUAUUUACCCUUACGAAAAUUAACCAUGGUUUAAUUAUAGUAAAAUUGUAGUAACCAUGUUUUUU